UAGUGUUCUUCAUUCUUCAGUUCCAGAAAAGAAGAGCAAAACCCUAAAUCCCAAAUAGACGGAGGAACUGGAGCACUAAAUUGCCGGCUUCAAUUUCAGCAGAGAAAGCAUUCGAAUUGGGUGAGUCCCAUUCUGAUCCAGUUAUGUUUGGUUUUUGCUGUAAAAGAUUGCAAUGACUAGUUCCAAGCUGUAGGAUUGCUGUUGAUUAUUCAGUCACCCAUCUUCAAAAGGCACCACCUUUUACAAGAUUAUAUUCAUCAAAACCAUUAUUAGGGGUCCAAGAUGAUAAAGCUCGCUCUUUUACAGUUUCAUACCUUAUAAACUCAUUUGGGUUCUCCCCACAACUGGCUCUCUCUGCGUCCAACAAGAUGAAGGUACGCUUCGACACCCCAGAAAAACCCGACUCUGUUAUUAAGCUUUUUAAAGACUAUGGACUCAGUGAUGCCCACAUCUCUGACAUUGUUAAGAAAUGCCCAGUUUUGCUUGUAUCCAAUGCUGAAAAGACCCUUUGGCCAAAACUCCAGUUUUUCACUUCCAUUGGCCUUUCGGGCAAUGACCUUGCCCGGAUCUUCCGUGUCAACUUGCGUUAUCUUGACAUUGAGCUUAGAGAGAAGUAUUAGACCUUGUUAUGAUAUUAUGAAAACUCUAGAAAUACCUGAGCAUAAGGUCCCUUAUUUCAUUAGCAACUAUUAUAUGUUUAACCCCAAAGUAUUGAGCAAUGUACCUCACAACACUUUGAUUCUGAGAGCGCAACAGGUGCCAGAAGCGUCAUUUCCUCUGUGGGUGUGUUCUCAUUUGCUUGCACUGUCAUUUGACUCUGAGAAGGUUAAGACAAAUGUCGAGAAGGUCAUCAGCAUGGGAUUUGACCCUUCGUCUACUACAUUCAUGAAAGCUUUGUAUGUGGUAUCGGUGACCAAUGCAGCAAAGUGGAAACACAAGAUGGAAUUUUAUGAGAAGUGGGGUUGGACUGAAGAUGAUGUGUUGUUGGCAUUUAGAAAGAAUCCCAUGUUUAUGAGCUUCAGUGUGAAGAAUAUUUCAGCUAAAAUGGAUUUUCUUUUGAAUAAAAUGGGUUGCCAGCCUUCAGAUCUGGCUGCACGUCCAGAUAUUCUGACUUAUAGUUUGGAGAAGCAAAUCAUACCUAGGUGUUCAGUCAUCAGAUUUCUCCAGUUAAAGGGCUUAAUUGUCAAGGAAGAUUUAUAUAUAAUUAGCAUUGUGCACAAAAACGAGAAGUGGUUCUUGGAAAGGUUUGUGAUCAAAUAUGAAGAACAAGCACCUGAAUUGCAGAGCAUCUUACAGGGGAAAAUGGGUCUAGGCGAAUUUGGUUUAGGAUUCGACGAAAGUGGUUGAGUCACUCGAGUGUAACAAUUGUAGGACGAAGCUUGUUGAUUUAUCCUGCAUUCUAGUUUGAUGAUUCAGAGGAUUAAGUUCUCGUACAAAUGUCAACUCUUGCUCUGUGUCAAGUUUUACAGUAUCAUAUCCUUUGCUUGACCAAAUAUGCUGUCCUUAAACCACUUAGUUCUGAGAGAUGAAGUCUUGGAGACAGGGAGAGGUGUAGGACUCCAAUUGGAUUGCUGUACAAGUUUAUUUUUGCAGGUUGAACUCAGUCAAACUGCCUAAACUCCGAGGCUUAAGGAAAGUCUCUAUCAACAGCUGGAUUUUAGAGUCUAUUCAAAAAAAUGGAUGGUUACUGAACUGAUUCAUCAGCAGAGGACACUUCAAAUUUCAUUAAUAUUUCUGUCUAAAGAGAGUAAUUGUUGGGAAUCGAGGGUUUAGCCAUGGGUGCAAAAAGUUUGCUCUAAGAUGCCUGCUUGUGUUUUGCUGCUCUAACAUGGUUAACUCGAGUGUGAAGUGCAUCUCGAGUUAGUUUGUUAACAUUUACUGCUCUAUUGAGCAUGGAAUGACAUGUAAAGACAGCAUUUGGGAUUCUCUGUCAACUUCUUUUCUUUACAUUUGAUCUGUAUACUGUUGAUUUAAAGAGCAGAAUCAAGCUUAUCAUAC